GGUGUGGGGUCGCAGUGUUGCGGUGGGAUCACGGUGUUGUGGGGUCACGGUGUGGGGUCGCAGUGUUGCGGUGGGAUCACAGUGUUGUGGGGUGACCGGUUGGGGUCGCGGUGUCAUGGUGGGGUCACGGUGUCGUGGUGGGGUGACAGGGUAGUGUCGCAGUUUUGUGGUGGAGUCGUGGUAUCGUCAUGGGGGGACAGGGGGGUCGCGGUGUGUUGUGGUGGGGUCGCGGUGUGUUGUUGUGGGGUCACGGUGUUGUGGGGUCAUGGUUUUGAGUCGCGGUGUCGUGGUGGGGUCACGGUGUCGUGGUGGGGUCACAGAGCCAUGGUGUGGUGUCAUGGUGGCACUUUGGGGACAUUUAUGGCCACGUGGUGUCGUGGAGGCCAACGUGUUCCCUCCAUAGCCAUUGUAACCAUGACCUGGUGGCACUCUGGGGACAUUUAUGGCCACAUGACGUCAUGGAGGCCAACCUGUUCCCUCCAUAGCCGCCCUACCAAGACCUGGUGGCACUUUGGGGACAUUUAUGGCCACGUGAUGUCCUGGAGGCCAACCUGUUCCCUCCAUAGCCAUUGUAACCAAGACCUGGUGGCACUUUGGGGGACCCCGGUGAGACCUUGGAGGACCUCAGUGACACUUUGGGGGACCCCGGUGACACCUUGGGGGACCCCGAGGGUGGCAUUGGGGUGGUUGGAAGUGCCCUGGUGACACUU
rnacentral:lncRNA from 1 species